UACACAAUAAAUACAAAAUUAAUAAACGAUUUAAAAAUCUUAUAAAGCCGCUGUUAACUUAAUUUUAUUGGACUUUUUUGAGGAUAAGCUCGAAAAUUGUUGUUGAGAACUGUAUAAUUAAAGAUUAUUGUGUGGGCCUAAAGUUAGCCACCACGAGAGUUUGUUAUAAAGUAGUAAAAACACAUAAAAAUAUUGUUAUACGUGAUUCCACAUUAAAUUAUAAGAACAACAAUCUAAACCUAAAAGGUUAGUAUGCCUAUGCUAGGAUGAGUAUCACAAUCAUUUAAGCUGAAAGAAUGUUUUCUUGAUAAAAGUGUCUUUAACAUAAAUUAAAGAGAAGGAAUUCAGCAAAUAUUUGUUCCGCCUGUUUAUCAAAAACAUGGCUCUUUGAGAAAAGCAUAUAAAGAGUCGAACCUGCCCAGUGAAGAAAUUUUAACGGCCGCGGUACCCUGACCGUGCAAAGGUAGCAUAAUCAUUUGCCUUAUAAUUGAAGGCUGGCAUGAAUGGUCUGACGAGAGCAAUACUGUCUCCUCUUUAUUAUUUAGAAAUUAACUUAUAGGUGAAGAGGCCUAUAUCAUAUUGAAGGACAAGAAGACCCUGUCGAGCUUUAAAGUAAGUAGUAGAAAUUAGUUAUCAAGGAGAUCAAUACAUGCCUACUAUAUCUUUUUAGUUGGGGCGACUAAGGAACAAAUAGAGCUUCUUCUUAUUUUUAUAAAUUUAUAGAUUUAGAUCCAGCAAAGCUGAUCAAAAGAAUUAGUUACCGCAGGGAUAACAGCAUAAUCUCCUUUGAGAGA
rnacentral:rRNA from 1 species